GCGUUGCUGCUGAGGCCGCCUUGGCGAC
rnacentral:sRNA from 1 species